GGGAUAGGUAUUAUGGAUAAAGUGGAAGUGGGAGAGCAUAUAGCAUAUUAGCAGAUGAAACAGCAGACAUUUGACUUUUGAGGAUAAGAACAAGAAGAAACUAUUGGAAUUAUAUUCUAAUUAUAUUUCGAUGCAAAGUGUUACAGAGUACAAGAAGAUUUUGUUGGUUUUGUCGAAUCAGGACUAAGCUUCGUUUUCCUAUUGUGGGUCACAUAAACUGACCCUGGUUAUUAACGAUCUCAAUGCUCUAUCUGAUAUCCGGAUCAAACAAAAAUUUUUCAAAUGAUCAAAAGUCACCGUGAUGAUGCAGAAAAAGUAGCUGAGGAAUUAAUGACAGAUGCCUUUACAAACGCCGAAAAGCCCGGACUGUCGAAGGACAAAUUCAACCAACCAACCAGCCACUAGCCCAUUUGAGUACUGAAGAAGGUCUAUAAUUAUUCCUUACUUGGAUUCCAUCAUCAGAAGAUUUCCUGAAGAAAACACGCCAGACAUUAAGCAUACUACACCCUGCUCAAAUGAAGACAAUUCAUUCCAUUUCCAAUGUUUGGGACACUUUUUCCAAGUUUUAUUAUUUAAACAUCAGAAAUGAACUCGAAUUGUGGCGAAGGAUAUGGCAAGACAAACCUGAACUAAAUUUCAAGGCGCUGACCGUAAUUUUUUUUAAGAAACACGGGGCCUUUUUCCUGAGACGGAAAAAGCUUUGGAAAUUUCGAUCACUAUACUUGCACUGUAUUCAGUAGGAACAUAGGAAGUCGAAGAGGUAUCCGGGGUAAUCAUAGAAUUUUCAUGCAGGUAACCUACAAACUUCCGGUGUUUCAUGGUUAUUGGUUAACGACGGAAUGGCUUUGGGAAUUUGAUUAUGAAUUGCAAUUAUAGAUUCAAUAAAACACAGAACAAGGUUCAACUUAUUUAUUGUGCACAGCUUACUCAGUUGAGAUUCAACAAGUAAUUAAUUAAUGCUUAAGUUUCAAGUGGUUGGCUUGGCUUCAUUAGUCGAAUCCGAAUGUAAACAUUACAUAUCAACUCUAUGCUCCGUAGGAUGAUAAUUGGCCUCAAUACAUAGAGCCACUUGACCAGUUCAUUUAUUGAUCCAACAGAUUGCUCUGGAUACCUCCUCGCCUUUCUAUGAUCCUGAUGUAACAUUUGGCUUUUAGGUUGUGAGUAAAAGGUUGCUUGGAAUAUAGAAAAGGAAAGUAAACAUAUGGGCACGAUUCCUAAUACAAGAGAGAUGAAAGCUUAGUGCGGCCAAUCACAAUUGAGCUAGCCGAAUUGAAAACGUUGCCGGCUCUAUUUUCAAUACGAAGGAAUGAACUGAGGAGAAGAUUAAUAUUUUUCCGACCAUUCAGAUAAAUUGUCGAUGUGGCAACGUUCAUUCGGGUUAUCUGUCAUUUGGUUCUGGCUUGUACACCACCUCAGUUGGCUAAAUCUUAAUUAUUCCUUGAUUUAAUUGUUUUGUAUUUUCAUUUGUUACCAUUAUCAGUGAUAUUAGACAUGCCUAACAAGUGUUUUUGUGUGGUUUUACUUAUAUUGUGGGAGGUUAGUGGUUAGACUUCAUAGACUUCGAUCGAAUCAACUCGUACGAGAAAAAUGGUUGCGAGAAUUUCUUGGAACCGACCAUUCUUGGAAAAUAAAAUAUAUUAUCUUUGCUCGAAUCACUUUCCUGAAGAUUGCUUCCGAAUAAUGAACCUAAGACAGAGGCUUAUUCGGCUUAUUCCCCUUCUUCUUUUGCAAUCAAAUUGGAAAUACCUCUUACCUACUCAGAAGGGAAGUAUUGAAGAACAGGACUCAACUGAAUCUGAGUCUAAAACCCAAUCAUCAUAAAAGAAAACAUGAGAUUUGACCCUUCAACUACUUUAAGGUGUCCUUCAAAAUGUGCAUCCUCUACCUCUUGUCGACUUGUUUGGUAGUGACAUUUAGAACCUAAGAAAGAGGCUCAUCCAAGGAGGACUUAAUCAGAAGGGAAUAGAGGUAUUGAAGAAUCUCUUUCUGAUUAUAAAAUACAAUCUCCAUCAAUAAAUGAUUCAGAAGAAACACUGACUUUAUCCUCUCCUUCAAAAUCUGCAUCAUUUAACUCUAGUGCCACUUCUUUCUCUGGGGAACUAUGAAUAUCUAAAAUAAAGUAGAGAUAGUUUUUCUCAAAUCCCCACUAUAUUGGAGAUUAUUCACAUCGUCAUUUGGAAAACCCAAGGCAGCAAAAGAAAUUCUUCAGGUUAUCUCGAAGAAUCCUGUCCAAAUUCAAGAUCAAAAAUAAAAUAUAAGUAAAUCAAGUGAAACACCUUAAAUUAUCCAUAUCAAAUUUACAAGAUCUGAUGAAAACUAUUCAUCACAAUUUUUCGGUGAAGAAGAUAUGAAGAAUGCAUUAAACUUGACUAUUUCUGGACCAACAAAGCUUCAACUUCCGCUAACGUGAUAAGCUGAAGUUGAACAGCACCGACCCAAAACUACAGUUAAAAAAACAUUGGGGUGUCGUACCAAUGCCUCUCACUUUGUAGUUGAUGAGGCUGAAAAAAUAUUCAGGUGGACAGAAAGGGUUUUUAAUAUUUUCGAUGAAAAUUAUUCGAACUUCUUACUCCGUCUAGCUCUCACUACAUUGAAUAGUGUUGAUCCAAAGUUGUUCAAUGUUUCAAUCAGCAUCUGUUUGAUGAUGAACCAGAGAGAAUCCAUGACCCUGCUGUAACGGAAAUGAUUCUUGAAACCUAUUUCAAUUCGAGGAUUCGCCACGAAUUGAGAAAUCGACAAAGUGUGAAAUUAGAUUGGAAUCAGUUGAGAAGUAGAUUGACGAAAACUAUAAUAUUUGUACACCAAUAGAUUUUUCUAAUGAAUAUAUUAAUACACAUUAAAUUCAAAUGGGUUGAUUAUUGUAAACCAAUAUAUUUCUGCUUAGAACAUUAAUAAUUUAAAUUCUUUAUUUCGGUAAUAAAUAUAUUCUGUUAUUUUA